UCGGGUAUGGUGUAGUGGCUAACAUCGCUGACUCUCAAUCACUGAGUCCUCAGCAGCCCGGGGUUCGAUUCCCCAGGCACGAC
rnacentral:tRNA from 1 species